GUUCAGCUCAUCAGCCAGGUGGGAGAGAAUGUCACAGUUCUGCUUAACUUCUUUCUCCAGUGCAUCUAGUUUUGUGCGUGGAAAACCUGCAAGCCAGAAAGUGACCAAAUAUUCCACUUUUAAACUAGGCAGUCCCACGAUGAGCUGAGGGCGGCCACGAGGCAGAGCACGUCACAGAGCGCUUUUGCUCUGCUGUGCUGUUUCCUGGAUGGAGGAGUUGGGAGUUUCUGUGUCGCUUACCCCAUGCUGCGUCCCUGAUGGUCAGCUGCAUCGCCCUGAAGGCCAGGGUGCAGCCCCUGGCUUGACGUGCCAUUGCUGGGACAGCGAGGCAGCUCCUCCCAGUUCGACGUCAACGGGGAUGCUCAGGCUCCCAUCCACUCUGUCACUGACGCUUCCCGUGGUUGUGAACUCCCGUGGGCCUUGGCUGUCUCCGCUGGGAAGGAGGGACUCUGCAACGAUGUGGGAGUGGAUCCUGCUCAGCACUGGGGGCUCUUUCUUCCCCUGCCUUGCUCAGUGCCCCUCCGCUGUGACUUGGUGAGUUAAUGAGAGAGAAUGCUUGGUGAGAAUUAGAGAGAGGCCGUUGUGUCACGGGGCAAUGCCAGGGAGGCAGCUGCCCUGUGUGCUUAACAUGGGAUCGUUUCACUGCUCCGUGCUGGGCACUUUCCCUUGGAAGACUCCGAAACCAGACAAAACCAAGCAAGAACUGAGAGCAGACAGUUUGCUCUCCCCCCUCUUCUGUACCAAAAGCUUUAGGAACACACUGUCACGUCCUGCCCGGGGAGGGUGACCAGAUUCACAGAUCCUCUUGUUUGCAUUGAGGUGAAAGGACACUCGGACUCCAAGCACAAUCAGGACCGUAGUACAGCGAUUCUCAUUAAAACUGACUUUAAAAGUG